AGUGAACGCUGGCGGUAGGCCUAACACAUGCAAGUCGAACGGCAGCACAGGAGAGCUUGCUCUCUGGGUGGCGAGUGGCGGACGGGUGAGGAAUACAUCGGAAUCUACUUUUUCGUGGGGGAUAACGUAGGGAAACUUACGCUAAUACCGCAUACGACCUACGGGUGAAAGCAGGGGAUCUUCGGACCUUGCGCGAUUGAAUGAGCCGGUGUCGGAUUAGCUAGUUGGCGGGGUAAAGGCCACCAAGGCGACGAUCCGUGGCUGGUCUGAGAGGAUGAUCAGCCACACUGGAACUGAGACACGGUCCAGACUCCUCCGGGAGGCAGCAGUGGGGAAUAUUGGACAAUGGGCGCAAGCCUGAUCCAGCCAUACCGCGUGGGUGAAGAAGGCCUUCGGGUUGUAAAGCCCUUUUGUUGGGAAAGAAAUCCAGCUGGUUAAUACCCGGUUGGGGUGACGGUACCCAAAGAAUAAGCACCGGCUAACUUCGUGCCAGCCGCCGCCGUAA
rnacentral:rRNA from 1 species